UGUGAUUAAAAUGGCUACACCAUCACAAAGUAUUCAUAGGGAACUACUAAUCGACUUGGAAUUUAUCCGCGUGUACAGAGAUGGUAAUGUGAAAGUUAUGGUAGUUUAUAGUAGAAAUACUAACUUUAGGAAAUGAGUGGAAGCAGGUCCAUAGGGUCCUUCAACAGAAACUUCAAGACAAUCCACAGGGGAAGGCAAAGAGAGAACAUCGUAAAGUUUCUUGCUCCAAGUACCUUCACAUUUGAUGACAACACUAAUUGUAUCUGAUUCUAAGUUACUGUUUGAUGUUACAGUGAAUGGAUGCCACUGCAGCUUUGAUAUGCUUGGUACAUUCAGGAACAUGACGCUCGUUGGAGAGUACUCCAAACCUACAAAUCAUAAAUAAGUAAGUAAAAAUUCGUUACAUAUUCAGUGUAUAUAAGUUAGUUCUUUAUAUUUUUAGGUUGAAAAGGCGGAAUUGUUACCUGGUAUUUUGGAGAAGUUGAGUUCCAAAGUUUCACAAGUCAAAACUCUGGCUGAAACUAAACGAACUUUUUGUUUGGAUUGCAAAAAUCUCAAAUAUCGAUCGAUGAGGAAGAGGAGGAAACCAGGAAGCAUAAUGCAGGCAUAGAACAUUCCAGUAUGGAGUAAGAAGAAAGCCAUGAAC
rnacentral:lncRNA from 1 species